GUGAACGCUGGCGGUAGGCCUAACACAUGCAAGUCGAACGGCAGCACAGUAAGAGCUUGCUCUUACGGGUGGCGAGUGGCGGACGGGUGAGGAAUACAUCGGAAUCUACUUUUUCGUGGGGGAUAACGUAGGGAAACUUACGCUAAUACCGCAUACGACCUACGGGUGAAAUCAGGGGAUCUUCGGACCUUGCGCGAUUGAAUGAGCCGAUGUCGGAUUAGCUAGUUGGCGGGGUAAAGGCCCACCAAGGCGACGAUCCGUAGCUGGUCUGAGAGGAUGAUCAGCCACACUGGAACUGAGACACGGUCCAGACUCCUACGGGAGGCAGCAGUGGGGAAUAUUGGACAAUGGGCGAAAGCCUGAUCCAGCCAUACCGCGUGGGUGAAGAAGGCCUUCGGGUUGUAAAGCCCUUUUGUUGGGAAAGAAAAGCAGCAGGUUAAUACCCCGCUGUUCUGACGGUACCCAAAGAAUAAGCACCGGCUAACUUCGUG
rnacentral:rRNA from 1 species